rnacentral:rRNA from 1 species
AUUGAACGCUGGCGGCAUGCCUUACACAUGCAAGUCGAACGGUAACGGGCCUUCGGGUGCCGACGAGUGGCGAACGGGUGAGUAAUACAUCGGAACGUGCCCGAUCGUGGGGGAUAACGAGGCGAAAGCUUUGCUAAUACCGCAUACGAUCUACGGACGAAAGCAGGGGACCGCAAGGCCUUGCGCGGACGGAGCGGCCGAUGGCAGAUUAGGUAGUUGGUGGGAUAAAAGCUUACCAAGCCGACGAUCUGUAGCUGGUCUGAGAGGAUGAUCAGCCACACUGGGACUGAGACACGGCCCAGACUCCUACGGGAGGCAGCAGUGGGGAAUUUUGGACAAUGGGCGCAAGCCUGAUCCAGCCAUGCCGCGUGCAGGAUGAAGGCCUUCGGGUUGUAAACUGCUUUUGUACGGAACGAAAAGCCUUCUUUGAAUACAGGAGGGUCAUGACGGUACCGUAAGAAUAAGCACCGGCUAACUACGUG